rnacentral:rRNA from 1 species
CUACGGGGGGCACCAGUGGGGAAUAUUGGACAAUGGGGGAAACCCUGAUCCAGCAAUGCCGCGUGUGUGAAGAAGGCCUGCGGGUUGUAAAGCACUUUCGGUUGGGAGGACUGCUUAGCACUAAUAUUGUUGGAAGUUGACGUUACCUUCAGAAGAAGCACCGGCUAACUCCGUGCCAGCAGCCGCGGUAAUACGGAGGGUGCAAGCGUGAAUCGGAAUUACUGGGCGUAAAGCGCGCGUAGGCGGCUAGAUCAGUCGGGUGUGAAAGCCCCGGGCUUAACCUGGGAACUGCAUCCGAUACUGUCUAGCUUGAGUACAGGAGAGGAGAGUGGAAUUCCACAUGUAGCGGUGAAAUGCGUAGAUAUGUGGAGGAACACCAAUGGCGAAGGCAGCUCUCUGGCCUGAUACUGACGCUGAGGUGCGAAAGCGUGGGGAGCAAACAGGAUUAGAUACCCCAGUAGUC